CCCCAGGUAGCUAACCACACAAGCGCUAGCCUUUUAAGCCAGAAAUGGACACGCAGUCCCCUGGGGC
rnacentral:tRNA from 1 species